rnacentral:rRNA from 1 species
CACACUGGACUGAGACACGGUCCAGACUCCUACGGGAGGCAGCAGUGGGGAAUAUUGCACAAUGGGCGAAAGCCUGAUGCAGCCAUGCCGCGUGUAUGAAGAAGGCCUUCGGGUUGUAAAGUACUUUCAGUUGUGAGGAAGGGGGUAGCGUUAAUAGCGCUAUCUCUUGACGUUAGCAACAGAAGAAGCACCGGCUAACUCCGUGCCAGCAGCCGCGGUAAUACGGAGGGUGCGAGCGUUAAUCGGAAUUACUGGGCGUAAAGCGCAUGCAGGUGGUUCAUUAAGUCAGAUGUGAAAGCCCGGGGCUCAACCUCGGAACUGCAUUUGAAACUGGUGAACUAGAGUACUGUAGAGGGGGGUAGAAUUUCAGGUGUAGCGGUGAAAUGCGUAGAGAUCUGAAGGAAUACCAGUGGCGAAGGCGGCCCCCUGGACAGAUACUGACACUCAGAUGCGAAAGCGUGGGGAGCAAACAGGAUUAGAUACCCUGGUAGUCCACGCCGUAAACGAUGUCUACUUGGAGGUUGUGGCCUUGAGCCGUGGCUUUCGGAGCUAACGCGUUAAGUAGACCGCCUGGGGAGUACGGUCGCAAGAUUAAAACUCAAAUGAAUUGACGGGGGCCCGCACAAGCGGUGGAGCAUGUGGUUUAAUUCGAUGCAACGCGAAGAACCUUACCUACUCUUGACAUCCAGAGAAGCCAGCGGAGACACAGGUGUGCCUUCGGGAGCUCUGAGACAGGUGCUGCAUGGCUGUCGUCAGCUC